GUCACUUGGUCCUAGAGAAUCAAGUGUUCCUAUCACCUCCUGACCCAGGCAAGCCUUUUCCCAUAUGGGCAGGUAGAGGCCAAAACUCCAGGUCCAAUUAGCUCCCAGAAAACCCCCACCUCAUUCAGUAAGCUCUACUUCACAAGCCACUGCCUGCCCAGCCCCCAAAUCCCACCAUCGGACAGACCUUGCUGCUCCCUCAAAGCCGCUUGUUACCUGAUCAUUACCCAAUGAGGGGUCAAAAAAACCAACCAUGGCCGGGCGCAGUGGCUGACGCCUGCAAUCCCAGCACUUGGUGAGCCUGACACAGGUGGAUGGAUUGCUUCAGCUCAGGAGUUUUUGAGACCAGCCUGAGCAACAUGGUGAAACCGUCUCUACAAAAAAUACAAAAAUUAGCUGGGUGUGGUGGUGGCUGCUCAUAGAACCAGCUACUCGGGAGGCUGAGCACACGUGUGGAGGAAGGAGAGGAAGGGAUGAUGGCCCAGCCUGUGUCGUGACGAUGCCAGCUGAGCACAAGUGUGGAGGAAGGGGAGGAAGGGAUGAUGGCAUGCCUAUCCUUACACACAGGUA
ensembl:lncRNA novel transcript, antisense to CRK